rnacentral:rRNA from 1 species
AACGAACGCUGGCGGCAGGCCUAACACAUGCAAGUCGAACGCUGCAGCAAUGCAGAGUGGCAGACGGGUGAGUAACACGUGGGAAUCUUCCUGUCGGUACGGAAUAGCUCAGGGAAACUUGGGGUAAUACCGUAUACGCCCUUCGGGGGAAAGAUUUAUUGCCGAUAGAUGAGCCCGCGUCUGAUUAGCUAGUUGGUGAGGUAAUGGCUCACCAAGGCGACGAUCAGUAGCUGGUCUGAGAGGAUGACCAGCCACACUGGGACUGAGACACGGCCCAGACUCCUACGGGAGGCAGCAGUGGGGAAUAUUGGACAAUGGGCGCAAGCCUGAUCCAGCCAUGCCGCGUGAGUGACGAAGGUCUUCGGAUUGUAAAGCUCUUUUGGCGGGGACGAUAAUGACGGUACCCGCAGAAUAAGCCCCGGCUAACUUCGUGCCAGCCGCCGCGGUAAUAC